rnacentral:tRNA from 1 species
CGUAGCGUAGCUGGAUAACGCAUCAGACUCCGACUCUGAAGACCAUGGGUUCGAAUCCCGUCG